UGAGGGAUGACGGCCUUCGGGUUGUAAACCUCUGUUGGUAAGGGAAGAAAAAGUUUGCAACUAAUAUUUGCAGGCUCUGACGGUACCUACUGAGGAAGCUCCGGCUAACUACGUGCCAGCAGCCGCGGUAAUACGUAGGGAGCUAGCGUUGUUCGGAAUCACUGGGCGUAAAGAGAGCGUAGGCGGAAAGGUAAGUUAGGAGUGAAAUGUAUCGGCUCAACCGGUAACGUGCUUUUAAGACUGCUUUUCUUGAGUAUGGGAGAGGAUGAUGGAAUUCCAGGUGUAGCGGUGGAAUGCGUAGAUAUCUGGAAGAACACCAGUUGCGAAGGCGGUCAUCUGGACCAAUACUGACGCUGAGGCUCGAAAGCUAGGGGAGCGAACAGGAUUAGAUACCCUGGUAGUCCUAGCCGUAAACGAUGGACACUAGAUGCUGGAAGCAUUACGCUUUCAGUGUCGUAGCUAACGCAUUAAGUGUCCCGCCUGGGGAGUACGCUCGCAAGGGUG
rnacentral:rRNA from 1 species